UAGACUUCCAGAUAGAGGCUCCCACACGGAUGAUGAGAACAACUACACAGACUACUUUUUCCAACACGUACUUUAAGUAGCAGUUUCCUCCAGAACCAAGUUUCCCAUCCUUGGCUCCUUAUUUCUCCAUUUCAAUUAUUGUGUAUGUUUUUUGUCUUUGACAAACAAGCUCUUUUCAUUACUUUUGAACUGAAA
rnacentral:lncRNA from 1 species